rnacentral:rRNA from 1 species
GAUGAACGCUGGCGGUGUGCCUAAUACAUGCAAGUCGAGCGAACAGACGAGGAGCUUACUCCUCUGACGUUAGCGGCGGACGGGCGAGUAACACGUGGAUAACCUACCUAUAAGACUGGGAUAAUUUCGGGAAACCGGAGCUAAUACCGGAUAACAUGUUGAACCGCAUGGUUCAACAGUGAAAGACGGUCUUGCUGUCACUAAUAGAUGGAUCCGCGUCGCAUUGGCUGGUUGGUAAGGUAACGGCUUACCAAGGCAACGAUGCGUAGCCGAGCUGAGAGGGUGAUCGGCCACACUGGAACUGAGACACGGUCCAGACUCCUACGGGAGGCAGCAGUAGGGAAUCUUCGGCAAUGGGCGAAAGCCUGACGGAGCAACGCCGCGUGAGUGAAGAAGGUCUUCGGAUCGUAAAGCUCUGUUAUUAGGGAAGAACAGAUGUGUAAGUAACUAUGCACGUCUUGACGGUACCUAAUCAGAAAGCCACGGCUAACUACGUG